UGGGGAAUAUUGCACAAUGGGCGAAAGCCUGAUGCAGCAACGCCGCGUGAGUGAUGAAGGCCUUCGGGUUGUAAAGCUCUGUCUUUUGGGACGAUAAUGACGGUACCAAAGGAGGAAGCCACGGCUAACUACGUGCCAGCAGCCGCGGUAAUACGUAGGUGGCAAGCGUUGUCCGGAUUUACUGGGCGUAAAGGAUGCGUAGGCGGAUUUUUAAGUGAGAUGUGAAAUACCCGGGCUUAACUUGGGUGCUGCAUUUCAAACUGGGAAUCUAGAGUGCGGGAGAGGAAAUGGAAUUCCUAGUGUAGCGGUGAAAAUGCGUAGAGAUUAGGAAGAACACCAGUGGCGAAGGCGAUUCUCUGGACCGUAACUGACGCUGAGGCAUGAAAGCGUGGGUAGCAAACAGGAUUAGAUACCCUGGUAGUCCACGCCGUAAACGAUGAGUACUAGGUGUAGGAGGUAUCGACCCCUUCUGUGCCGCAGUUAACACAAUCAAGUACUCCGCCUGGGAAGUACGAUCGCAAGAUUAAAACUUAAAUG
rnacentral:rRNA from 1 species